GAUGAACGCUAGCGGCAGGCUUAAUACAUGCAAGUCGAGGGGCAGCGGGUGUAGCAAUACAUGCCGGCGACCGGCGCACGGGUGCGUAACGCGUAUGUAACCUACCUUUAACUGGAGGAUAGCCCCGAGAAAUCGGGAUUAAUACUCCAUAAAAUUAUGAGAAGGCAUCUUUUUAUAAUUAAAGCUCCGGCGGUUUUAGAUGGGCAUGCGUGACAUUAGCUAGUUGGUGAGGUAACGGCUCACCAAGGCUCCGAUGUCUAGGGGUUCUGAGAGGAUUAACCCCCACACUGGUACUGAGACACGGACCAGACUCCUACGGGAGGCAGCAGUAAGGAAUAUUGGGCAGUGGACGCAAGUCUGACCCAGCCAUGCCGCGUGAAGGAUGACGGCCCUAUGGGUUGUAAACUUCUUUUGUACGGGAAAAAACCUUCGAACGUGUUCGAAGCUGAUGGUACCGUAAGAAUAAGCAUCGGCUAACUCCGUG
rnacentral:rRNA from 1 species